GUGUUGGUUGAUUAUGGUCUAUAUACAGUAUGGCUGGGCGGUAUACAGUACAGAGGGACUUCCUGGAUUGCAGCACCAGGUCAGAGAGAGUAACAGACUGGGGACAUGAAGUGACAGUUCACACCCAUGAGAGACAUACAGGGUUCCUGAUCAACAGGAGGAGAGAGCACACAGAGAGACCAGUGGACACCGACAGAGAUAGUGACAAUAAGAGAAAGAGGAAAGAGACCCCGGUACUGUGAUUGAUUCAUCAAGGAGUGGAGGCAGGAUGUGGGUCCUCAUCUCGGCAGCUCUACUUCUCUCUCUGACAGAGAGAGCCACAUGCAACGGACAGCAACAACCACCAGCAACAGCAUCACCCUGGACCAUCACCUUCAGUCCAGCAGAAAUAACAGCAGAGAAGGGACUAUGUGCUGUUAUUUCAUGUACUUUCACUCACCCUUGAUGACAUCAAGCCUACCACUGCAAUAUGGUUCAAGUGCCCUACAAAUGGCAGAUGUGAUAAGGAUGAAAACAUAAUUUUCCACUCUGAAACUCCCCAUAAAGCUCAGGAGGAUUUUAAACAGAGAGUGUCUCUACUGGAGACUGAUCUGACAAAGAAGAACUGUAGUGUGAUCAUCAACGACAUCAAGAAGAAUGAUGCUGGAGAGUAUCAAUUCAGACUGCCAAGUUCAUAUACAUACUCGAAGAAAGUGAAAAUCACAGUGAGCGCUCUGACCCAGAAGCCUCAGUGUUGACUCCUCCUCUGACAGAGGGA